AGCAGUGUGGCCUAGUGGAAAGAGCAUGGGCCUGGGAUUCAGAAGGACCUGGGUUCUAAUCCCAGCUCUGCCC
rfam:Ornithorhynchus anatinus chromosome 1, whole genome shotgun sequence.